CGGGAUAUGGCGCAGCUUGGUAGCGCACUCGCUUUGGGAGCGAGGGGUCGUGGGUUCAAAUCCCGCUAUCCCGAC
rnacentral:tRNA from 2 species